rnacentral:misc_RNA from 1 species
CCAGACAGCAGGUAAUUGCUAUAAAUCGUUGAAAAGUUCCCUCGACUAUCUUUCGUCUCCAUCAUCAGACUGAACUGGCACUUAUAACUCAUAUAUAUGCAAAGUUCUCAUCAAUAGAAACGAAUUAAGUUCAAACAGCAGGUAAUUGCUAUAAAUCGUUGAAAAGUUCCCUCGACUAUCUUUCGUCUCCAUCAUCAGACUUUAAUGGCACUUGUAACUCAUAUAGGUGCAAAGUUCUCAUCAAUAGAAACGAAUUAAGUUCAAAAAGCAGGUAAUUGCUAUAAAUUGUUGAAGAGUUCCCUCGACUAUCUUUCAUCUCCAUCAUCAGAUCGACUCCAGACCUUUAUUAAAUAGUAGUGCUUUAUAGUACUUAAUGAAAACAUGAUUAAAUUUACUAGUCACCCUUACGAUUUUUGAAAGUUUCCCUCGAUUUCUCUGGGAUCCCAUCAUCAGAUCCUGGUUUCCUUGUCAUGGUACCAAACUAUGAAUAUCUCCUUUCCAACAAAAAAAGAAUUAUCAAAAUCGGUUCAUAAACGAAGAAGUUAUCUCCGAACAUACAUAAAAAAAAAAAAAAAAAAAAUAUAUACGGUCGAAUUGAGUAACCUCCUCCUUUUUUUGAAGUCGGUUAAAAAAUA